rnacentral:rRNA from 1 species
AACCCUUGUUCUGUGUUCCCAGCAUGCCUUUGGGGGUGAUGGGGACUCACAGGAGACUGCUGGGGUCAACUCGGAGGAAGGUGGGGACGACGUCAAGUCAUCAUGCCCCUUAUGUCUUGGGCUGCACACGUGCUACAAUGGCCGGUACAAUGAGCUGCGAUACCGCGAGGUGGAGCGAAUCUCAAAAAGCCGGUCUCAGUUCGGAUUGGGGUCUGCAACUCGACCCCAUGAAGUCGGAGUUGCUAGUAAUCGCAGAUCAGCAUUGCUGCGGUGAAUACGUUUUCGGGCCUUGUACACACC